rnacentral:rRNA from 1 species
GACGAACGCUGGCGGCGUGCCUAAUACAUGCAAGUCGCACGGGUCCCCAUCGAGAGGUUGGUGUCGCAGGGCGGAGGUACACGUGGGGACCUAUCCUUCACUGGAGCACCACACCGCGAGAGCGGUACGAAUCCCGCAUACGCCCUGCGGAGCAUAGCGUCAGCAAUCACGAGCUGAAGAUCGGCCGUGCUACCCCUCAGGUAGGUGGCGGGGUAACGGCCCACCAAGCGCGUGACGGGUCGCUGGUCUGUGAGGGAGACCAGACAGACUGGGACUGAGCUACGGCGCAGACUACUACGCGAGGCAGCAGCAAGGAAUUUUGGGAAAUGGGCGCAAGGAUGACCGAGCAACGCCGCGUGAGGGAUGACGGCCUGCGGGUUGUAAACCGCUUUUGGGGGGGAAGAAACUGACGGUACCCACAGAAUCAGCCCCGGCUAACUCUGUG